UACGAAGGGGGCUAGCGUUGCUCGGAAUUACUGGGCGUAAAGGGCGCGUAGGCGGAUAGUUUAGUCAGAGGUGAAAGCCCAGGGCUCAACCCUGGAAUUGCCUUUGAUACUGGCUGUCUUGAGUACGGGAGAGGUGUGUGGAACUCCGAGUGUAGAGGUGAAAUUCGUAGAUAUUCGGAAGAACACCAGUGGCGAAGGCGACACACUGGCCCGUUACUGACGCUGAGGCGCGAAAGCGUGGGGAGCAAACAGG
rnacentral:rRNA from 1 species